rnacentral:rRNA from 1 species
AUAGAGUCAAGUGAAUAAGUGCAUCAGGCGGAUGCCUUGGCGAUGAUAGGCGACGAAGGACGUGUAAGCCUGCGAAAAGCGCGGGGGAGCUGGCAAUAAAGCUAUGAUUCCGCGAUGUCCGAAUGGGGAAACCCACUGCAUUCUGUGCAGUAUCCUAAGUUGAAUACAUAGGCUUAGAGAAGCGAACCCGGAGAACUGAACCAUCUAAGUACCCGGAGGAAAAGAAAUCAACCGAGAUUCCGCAAGUAGUGGCGAGCGAACGCGGAGGAGCCUGUACGUAAUAACUGUCGAGAUAGAAGAACAAGCUGGGAAGCUUGACCAUAGCGGGUGACAGUCCCGUAUUCGAAAUCUCAACAGCGGUACUAAGCGUACGAAAAGUAGGGCGGGACACGUGAAAUCCUGUCUGAAUAUGGGGGGACCAUCCUCCAAGGCUAAAUACUCAUCAUCGACCGAUAGUGAACCAGUACCGUGAGGGAAAGGCGAAAAGAACCCCGGGAGGGGAGUGAAACAGAACCUGAAACCUGAUGCAUACAAACAGUGGGAGCGCCCUAGUGGUGUGACUGCGUACCUUUUGUAUAAUGGGUCAACGACUUACAUUCAGUAGCGAGCUUAACCGGAUAGGGGAGGCGUAGGGAAACCGAGUCUUAAUAGGGCGAUGAGUUGCUGGGUGUAGACCCGAAACCGAGUGAUCUAUCCAUGGUCAGGUUGAAGGUGCCGUAACAGGUACUGGAGGACCGAACCCACGCAUGUUGCAAAAUGCGGGGAUGAGCUGUGGGUAGGGGUGAAAGGCUAAACAAACUCGGAGAUAGCUGGUUCUCCCCGAAAACUAUUUAGGUAGUGCCUCGAGCAAGACACUGAUGGGGGUAAAGCACUGUUAUGGCUAGGGGGUUAUUGCAACUUACCAACCCAUGGCAAACUCAGAAUACCAUCAAGUGGUUCCUCGGGAGACAGACAGCGGGUGCUAACGUCCGUUGUCAAGAGGGAAACAACCCAGACCGCCGGCUAAGGUCCCAAAUGAUAGAUUAAGUGGUAAACGAAGUGGGAAGGCACAGACAGCCAGGAUGUUGGCUUAGAAGCAGCCAUCAUUUAAAGAAAGCGUAAUAGCUCACUGGUCGAGUCGUCCUGCGCGGAAGAUGUAACGGGGCUCAAAUCUAUAACCGAAGCUGCGGAUGCCGGUUUACCGGCAUGGUAGGGGAGCGUUCUGUAGGCUGAUGAAGGUGCAUUGUAAAGUGUGCUGGAGGUAUCAGAAGUGCGAAUGUUGACAUGAGUAGCGAUAAAGCGGGUGAAAAGCCCGCUCGCCGAAAGCCCAAGGUUUCCUACGCAACGUUCAUCGGCGUAGGGUAAGUCGGCCCCUAAGGCGAGGCAGAAAUGCGUAGUCGAUGGGAAACAGGUUAAUAUUCCUGUACUUGAUUCAAAUGCGAUGUGGGGACGGAGAAGGUUAGGUUGGCAAGCUGUUGGAAUAGCUUGUUUAAGCCGGUAGGUGGAAGACUUAGGCAAAUCCGGGUUUUCUUAACACCGAGAAGUGAUGACGAGUGUCUACGGACACGAAGCAACCGAUACCACGCUUCCAGGAAAAGCCACUAAGCUUCAGUUUGAAUCGAACCGUACCGCAAACCGACACAGGUGGGCAGGAUGAGAAUUCUAAGGCGCUUGAGAGAACUCGGGAGAAGGAACUCGGCAAAUUGAUACCGUAACUUCGGGAGAAGGUAUGCCCUCUAAGGUUAAGGACUUGCUCCGUAAGCCCCGGAGGGUCGCAGAGAAUAGGUGGCUGCGACUGUUUAUUAAAAACACAGCACUCUGCCAACACGAAAGUGGACGUAUAGGGUGUGACGCCUGCCCGGUGCCGGAAGGUUAAUUGAAGAUGUGCAAGCAUCGGAUCGAAGCCCCGGUAAACGGCGGCCGUAACUAUAACGGUCCUAAGGUAGCGAAAUUCCUUGUCGGGUAAGUUCCGACCCGCACGAAUGGCGUAACGAUGGCCACACUGUCUCCUCCCGAGACUCAGCGAAGUUGAAGUGGUUGUGAAGAUGCAAUCUACCCGCUGCUAGACGGAAAGACCCCGUGAACCUUUACUGUAGCUUUGCAUUGGACUUUGAAGUCACUUGUGUAGGAUAGGUGGGAGGCUUGGAAGCAGAGACGCCAGUCUCUGUGGAGUCGUCCUUGAAAUACCACCCUGGUGUCUUUGAGGUUCUAACCCAGACCCGUCAUCCGGGUCGGGGACCGUGCAUGGUAGGCAGUUUGACUGGGGCGGUCUCCUCCCAAAGCGUAACGGAGGAGUUCGAAGGUUACCUAGGUCCGGUCGGAAAUCGGACUGAUAGUGCAAUGGCAAAAGGUAGCUUAACUGCGAGACCGACAAGUCGGGCAGGUGCGAAAGCAGGACAUAGUGAUCCGGUGGUUCUGUAUGGAAGGGCCAUCGCUCAACGGAUAAAAGGUACUCCGGGGAUAACAGGCUGAUUCCGCCCAAGAGUUCAUAUCGACGGCGGAGUUUGGCACCUCGAUGUCGGCUCAUCACAUCCUGGGGCUGUAGUCGGUCCCAAGGGUAUGGCUGUUCGCCAUUUAAAGUGGUACGUGAGCUGGGUUUAAAACGUCGUGAGACAGUUUGGUCCCUAUCUGCAGUGGGCGUUGGAAGUUUGACGGGGGCUGCUCCUAGUACGAGAGGACCGGAGUGGACGAACCUCUGGUGUACCGGUUGUAACGCCAGUUGCAUAGCCGGGUAGCUAAGUUCGGAAGAGAUAAGCGCUGAAAGCAUCUAAGCGCGAAACUCGCCUGAAGAUGAGACUUCCCUUGCGGUUUAACCGCACUAAAGGGUCGUUCGAGACCAGGACGUUGAUAGGUGGGGUGUGGAAGCGCGGUAACGCGUGAAGCUAACCCAUACUAAUUGCCCGUGAGGCUUGACUCU